GGACAUAUGGCCGAGUGGUCUAAGGCGCUAGCUUCAGGUUGAUUAAUCUCAUUGAUCGCUAGUCUUCGGGCGUGGGUUCGAAUCCCACUGUGUUCA
rnacentral:tRNA from 1 species